CCUACGGGAGGCUGCAGUGGGGAAUAUUGCACAAUGGGCGCAAGCCUGAUGCAGCCAUGCCGCGUGUGUGAAGAAGGCCUUCGGGUUGUAAAGCACUUUCAGCGGGGAGGAAGGCGGUGAGGUUAAUAACCUCAUCGAUUGACGUUACCCGCAGAAGAAGCACCGGCUAACUCCGUGCCAGCAGCCGCGGUAAUACGGAGGGUGCAAGCGUUAAUCGGAAUUACUGAGCGUAAAGCGCACGCAGGCGGUCUGUCAAGUCGGAUGUGAAAUCCCCGGGCUCAACCUGGGAACUGCAUUCGAAACUGGCAGGCUAGAGUCUUGUAGAGGGGGGUAGAAUUCCAGGUGUAGCGGUGAAAUGCGUAGAGAUCUGGAGGAAUACCGGUGGCGAAGGCGGCCCCCUGGACAAAGACUGACGCUCAGGUGCGAAAGCGUGGGGAGCAAACAGGAUUAGAUACCCUAGUAGUC
rnacentral:rRNA from 1 species